rnacentral:rRNA from 1 species
UACGUAGGGGGCUAGCGUUGUCCGGAAUCAUUGGGCGUAAAGCGCGUGUAGGCGGUCCGGUAAGUCCGCUGUGAAAGUCGGGGGCUCAACCCUCGAAUGCCGGUGGAUACUGUCGGGCUAGAGUGCGGAAGAGGCGAGUGGAAUUCCUGGUGUAGCGGUGAAAUGCGCAGAUAUCGGGAGGAACACCAAUUGCGAAGGCAGCUCGCUGGGACGUAACUGACGCUGAGACGCGAAAGCGUGGGGAGCAAACAGG